rfam:Glycine max cultivar Williams 82 chromosome 18, whole genome shotgun sequence.
AAAUCAUGGUUUAGGCAUCUCCUUAGUAAAGAUUUGAAUCACUCCCAUGUUUCACAGAGAGGUUCAUCAGACCCUUGGAAAAAAGUAGCAAUGGCUGACUUU